AUACCCGCUGAACUUAAGCAUAUCAAUAAGCGGAGGAAAAGAAACCAACAGGGAUUGCCUCAGUAACGGCGAGUGAAGCGGCAACAGCUCAAAUUUGAAAUCUGGCUCCCCUGGGGGCCCGAGUUGUAAUUUGUAGAGGAUGCUUCGGCGUGGGCCCCGGUCUAAGUUCCUUGGAACAGGACGUCACAGAGGGUGAGAAUCCCGUACGUGGCCGUGGGUGCUCGCCAUGUGAAGCUCCUUCGACGAGUCGAGUUGUUUGGGAAUGCAGCUCUAAAUGGGAGGUAAAUUUCUUCUAAAGCUAAAUACUGGCCAGAGACCGAUAGCGCACAAGUAGAGUGAUCGAAAGAUGAAAAGCACUUUGGAAAGAGAGUCAAAAAGUACGUGAAAUUGUUGAAAGGGAAGCGCUUGCAACCAGACCUGCCUGCGGUUGCUCAUCCGGGCUCUUGCCCGGUGCACUCUUCCGCAGUCAGGCCAGCAUCAGCUCUGGCGGUCGGAUAAAGGCGGCGGGAAUGUGGCUCCCCUCGGGGAGUGUUAUAGCCCGCCGUGCAAUGCGGCCAGCCGGGACUGAGGUCCGCGCUUCGGCUAGGAUGCGGGCGUAAUGGUUGUAAGCGGCCCGUCUUGAAACACGGACC
rnacentral:rRNA from 1 species